rnacentral:rRNA from 1 species
CGCCUCCCGCAAAAAACACAUGGGAGGUCUUACCUGCCCGGUGACUACAAGUUAAACGGCCGCGGUAUUUUGACCGUGCAAAGGUAGCGCAAUCACUUGUCUUUUAAAUGAAGACCCGUAUGAAUGGUUAAACGAGGGCUUAACUGUCUCCCUUUUCUAGUCAAUGAAAUUGAUCUACCCGUGCAGAAGCGGGUCUAAUAAUACAAGACGAGAAGACCCUUUGGAGCUUAAGAUAAAGACCACCUAUGUUAAGGACCAAAAAACUUAAACCAAAUAGCCCUGGUCUACAUCUUCGGUUGGGGCGACCACGGGAGAAAACAAAGCUCCCAUGUGGACAGGGGCAACCCUAAAGCCAAGAAAGACAUCUCUAAGACACAGAACAUCUGACCAUAUUGAUCCGGCCCAUCGGCCGACCAACGAACCAAGUUACCCUAGGGAUAACAGCGCAAUCCCCUUUCAGAGUCCAUAUCGACAAGGGGGUUUACGACCUCGAUGUUGGAUCAGGACAUCCUAAUGGUGCAGCCGCUAUUAAGGGUUCGUUUGUUCAACGAUUAAAGUCCU